rnacentral:rRNA from 1 species
UACGGAGGGUGCAAGCGUUAUCCGGAUUCACUGGGUUUAAAGGGUGCGUAGGUGGGAAUGUAAGUCAGUGGUGAAAUCUCCGUGCUUAACAUGGAAACUGCCAUUGAUACUAUGUUUCUUGAAUUUUCUGGAGGUAAGCGGAAUAUGUCAUGUAGCGGUGAAAUGCUUAGAUAUGACAUAGAACACCAAUUGCGAAGGCAGCUUGCUACAGGGAUAUUGACACUGAGGCACGAAAAGCGUGGGGGAUCAAAACAGG